rnacentral:rRNA from 1 species
AUGGUAGGAUAGAGGCCUACCAUGGUGGUAACGGGUAACGGGGUGUUAGGGCACGACACCGGAGAGGGAGCCUGAGAAACGGCUACCACAUCCAAGGAUGGCAGCAGGCGCGCAAAUUACCCAAUCCCGAUACGGGGAGGUAGUGACAAUAAAUAACAAUACGGGGUUCUUUAGGAUCUCGUAAUUGGAAUGAGUACAAUUUAAAUCUCUUAACGAGGAACAAUUGGAGGGCAAGUCUGGUGCCAGCAGCCGCGGUAAUUCCAGCUCCAAUAGCGUAUAUUAAAGCUGUUGCAGUUAAAAAGCUCGUAGUUGAAUUUCGGGGUCAGUAGGUCGGUCGUGCCACUGGUAUGAACUGGUUUUACUGAUUCCUCCCUCUUGAAGAACUGUAAUGCCAUUAAUUUGGUGUUGCAGGGAAUCAGGACUGUUACUUUGAAAAAAUUAGAGUGUUUAAAGCAGGCUUUAGCUUGAAUACAUUAGCAUGGAAUAAUGAAAUAGGACGUUUGAUCCUAUUUUGUUGGUUUCUAGGAUUGACGUAAUGAUUAAUAGGGAUAGUUGGGGGCAUUAGUAUUCAAUUGUCAGAGGUGAAAUUCUUGGAUUUAUUGAAGACUAACUACUGCGAAAGCAUUUGCCAAGGAUGUUUUCAUUAAUCAAGAACGAAAGUUAGGGGAUCGAAGACGAUCAGAUACCGUCGUAGUCUUAACCAUAAACUAUGCCGACUAGGGAUCGGAUGAUGUUAAUUUUUUAAUGACUCAUUCGGCGCCUUACGGGAAACCAAAGUGUUUGGG